UUUGUUUGGUGAUUCCUCAUGAUUCAGGUUAAACAUUUUUGUCAAGUUCUACCUAGGUGUCUUAGUCUGUAUCCUGGAAUGGGUGGUGUAUAAACAAGACGUUUAAUUCUCAGAAUUCUGGAGGCUGGGAAGUCCAAGGUUAAGGCGCCAACAGAUUCGGUGCCUGGUGAGAGCCUGCUUCCUGGUCCAUAGACGGCUGUCUGUUCAUGGUAUCCUCACAUGGAAGAAGGGAGCUCUCUCAGAUCUCUUUUUAGAAAGGCACUAAUCUUCUUCAUGGGGGCUCUGCCCCAUUAUCACCUCUCAAAUGCCUCCCCUCCUAAACCAUCAUACUGGGGGUUAGGUUUCAAUAUAGGAAUGGGGUGGGGGUUGGGGGAGACUAACAGUCUAGAGCCACAAGUGUGUACUCAUACUCCGUCCAAUUGGGAGGCUUGUGUCAGAUGGUCCUGAUGUUUGAUCACUUAGUUUACUUCAUGUUCACUAGAUCUCUCUCUCUCCCCCCAUAUGUAUACAUAAAUGUAUUCACUGUGGUAAUUAACACAUGUCACUGUGGUAGUUGACAAGCAAUUUAUAGAUCUAUGACUAUUUUGUUGUUCCACAGUUUUUCUUCCAGGGAUCAUCUGGUCAUCUUUACCUGAAUCCAUUAUUGCUCUAAGGGUUAUUAGCAAAGGUGAUUUAUUUUUCUGUCAUGUCUUCUGCCUUUACUAGCCAGUAUUCUGCCUCCUUCUUUUUUUUGUUGUUGUUUUUUUUGUUUUAGGGCCACACCCACGGCAUACAGUGGUGCCCAGCCUAGGGGUCAGAUUGGAGCUACAGCUGCCAGCCUACACUACAGCCACAGCAAUGCAGGAUCCAAGCCACAUCUGUGACCGACACCGCAGCUCAUGGCAACGCCAGUUCCUCAACCCACUCAGCGAGGCCAGGAAUUGAACCCACAAUCUCAUGGUUCCUAGUCAGUUUCGUUUCUGCUGCACCACAACAGGAACUCUUCACUUUUUUUUUUUUUUUAAACCCCAUCCUCUUAGGACUACUGUAAAACUCCUGAUUUUAAUUUUAUCAAGUGUUUCAGUUCAUUAGUUCCAUUCUUUUUGAUACUCAAGGGCCUCAAUUUGGCCAGUGGGGGGCUUCAAGUUAGCUGCUAUCUGCAUUACUCUCUGAACAAUUCCUUACUCUGGUCAAGCCAUUCCAGGCUCAUCUUGUACUCUCUGUCUCAGACUUGAAAUGAGCCACUUCCCCAAGAAAGCCAGUUCUUUCAGUGUUACUGGUAAAAAGAGCAGUCAGUUUGAAAGGCUACAGUGUGUCUGUUUUAUGCUUGCACUCUGCUGUUAGGAAAAGGGCUGAGUGCGUUUUCCUUUCUAUGGCCACAUACAUGUAUUUCUUUCUGUGACAAGCCUUUGGCCCACGUUUAUUUUAGCGUGUUGAUCUUCUACUUGUUACUGUGUAAGUGAGGAAGUACAUUAAAGCACAUAGAGCAGUGCCCAGUGCAUGGUGGGCUUAGCUGGUCUUCAUCCUCCUUUUUGGAAGUAUCUGGGGCACUCCUGAACACCCUCUCCAGACACAUCCUACUCUUCUGCAGUCACAGGGGGAGCUCUGCCUGCCCCAGUGGUGCUGCUGCCACUGCCCGGAGUUUAUGGGCGAACACCUGGUACCACCUAUGCUCUUCACUCCACCCUGGUUCUUGGUCUUACCGUGUGGGUCAGCAGCCAGCCCUGAGUGUCCAGAGGCCCUGGCCCUGAGGCAUGGUGUGUAGCCCCUCAGCACAUGACUGGGCCCAGACCUGGGCAGCUCACUGCUCCUUUCCCACCUACAGGAGGUGGACUGGGAGGUGGAGCUGGCCGUGAUCAUUGGAAAGAAGGGCAAGCACAUCAAGGCCACAGACACCAUGGCCCAUGUGGCUGGCUUCACUGUGGCACAUGACGUGAGUGCUUGUGACUGGCAAAUGACAUGCAAUGGAAAGCAGUGGCUGCUGGGAAAAACCUUUGACACCUUCUUCCCCCGGGCCCUGCCUUGGUGACCAAGGACUGUAGCAGACCCACCCAACUUAAAGAUCUGCUGCCACGGGAAUGGGGAGGUGGUCCAGAGCAGCAAUACCAACCAGAUGGUGUUUAAGACAGAAGAGCUGAUAGCCUGGGUCUCCCGGUUUGUCACUGUCUGUCCAGGGGACAUCAUCCUGACGGGGACCCCUGCAGGAGUCGGUGUAUUCAGGAAACCUCCUCACUUCCUCAAGAAGGGCGAUGACGUCCAGUGUGAGACUGAGGAACUGGGUGUCAUCAUCAACAAGGUGGUGUGAUGGCCUCUGCUGCCAGCGUGGACUUACAAUGAGGUGGGGGCAUCUGUUCCCACUGAGCUGAGCACAGGGAGAGGCCUGGUGCUGCCCCUGAGGAUGCUUCUUCUUCAAUAAACUUUUAUUGUCUGU
ensembl:lncRNA